GUACACGCUGUGACUAGCAUAUCAAUAAGCGGAGGAAAAGAAACUAACAAGGAUUCCCCUAGUAACGGCGAGUGAAGCGGGAAGAGCUCAAAUUUGAAAUCUUAAAGGGUUUCCCUUUACGAAUUGUAGUUUAAAGAAGUGUUUUCUGUUGAGGUUUUGGUAAAAGUUCUUUGGAAUAGGACAUCAUAGAGGGUGAGAAUCCCGUAUUUGACCCUUACUUUCAACUUUGUGAUACACUUUCAAAGAGUCGGAUUGUUUGGGAAUGCAGUCCAAAAUGGGUGGUAAAUUUCAUCUAGAGCUAAAUAUUGGCGAGAGACCGAUAGCGAACAAGUACCGUGAGGGAAAGAUGAAAAGAACUUUGAAAAGAGAGUUAAACAGUACGUGAAAUUGUCAAAAGGGAAGCGUUUGACACCAGUGUUGUUUUUCUGAAAAUCAAUUAAAGAACUGUUUAUGCUAAGUUGUUUAGACUUUAUCAGCUAACUGUUUAGUUUUGAGCUUUUCUUUAAUGCACUUUUCAGUUAACAAGUCAACAUCAAUUUCUUUUGCUGUAAAAAAGCUUGAGGAAGGUGGCUUGAGAUUCGUCUUAAGUGUUUAUAGCCUCUUGCCUAGUGCAGUCGGAGAGAUUGAGGUCUGCAGCGUAGAUCCUUCGGGGCUAAAUGCAUUUGUGCUAAGUUAUAACAUUUUAUAGACAACUUGUUGACUAUGAUUUGUCUUGUAGCUUACUCGCUUAUGUUAUUUUACCUACGCUUAGGAUGUUGAAGUCAUCGUAUCGCGC
rnacentral:rRNA from 1 species